CCUACGGGAGGCAGCAGUAGGGAAUAUUGCUCAAUGGGGGAAACCCUGAAGCAGCAACGCCGCGUGGAGGAUGACGGCCCUACGGGUUGUAAACUUCUUUUGUCAGGGAGCAAGUGAGUCCACGUGUGGGCUUAGCGAGAGGACCUGAAGAAAAAGCAGAGGCUAACUCCGUGCCAGCAGCCGCGGUAAUACGGAGGAUGGGAGCGUUAGCCGGAUUGCUUGGGUUGAAAGGGUGCGUAGGCGGAAUCUCAAGUCAGCGGUAAAAAUUCGGGGCUCAACCCCGUCGUGCCGUUGAAACUGCUGUUCUUGAGUGGGCGCGUAGUAUGCUGCUUGCGUGGUGUAGCGG
rnacentral:rRNA from 1 species